rnacentral:rRNA from 1 species
GAUGAACGCUGGCGGCGUGCCUAACACAUGCAAGUCGAGCGAUCUUCUUCGGAAGAGAGCGGCGGACGGGUGAGUAACGCGUGGGUAACCUGCCCUGUACACACGGAUAACAUACCGAAAGGUAUGCUAAUACGAGAUAAUAUGCUUUUGUCGCAUGGUAGAAGUGUCAAAGCUCCGGCGGUACAGGAUGGACCCGCGUCUGAUUAGCUAGUUGGUAAGGUAACGGCUUACCAAGGCGACGAUCAGUAGCCGACCUGAGAGGGUGAUCGGCCACAUUGGAACUGAGACACGGUCCAAACUCCUACGGGAGGCAGCAGUGGGGAAUAUUGCACAAUGGGCGAAAGACCUGAUGCAGCAACGCCGCGUGAGCGAUGAAGGCCUCGGUCGUAAGUACGUCUGUCUCACGAAGA